rnacentral:tRNA from 1 species
ACUUGAAUAGCUUAUAUUAGAGCAUAACAUUGAAGAUGUUAGGGAAAUUUUGAAUUUUUAAGUA